rnacentral:rRNA from 1 species
CUAAUACCGCAUAGUCUUCGAUGACGGCAUCAGAUUUGAAGUAAAGAUUUAUCGGUAAUGGAUGGGGAUGCGUCUGAUUAGCUUGUUGGCGGGGUAACGGCCCACCAAGGCUACGAUCAGUAGGGGUUCUGAGAGGAAGGUCCCCCACAUUGGAACUGAGACACGGUCCAAACUCCUACGGGAGGCAGCAGUGAGGAAUAUUGGUCAAUGGACGGAAGUCUGAACCAGCCAAGUAGCGUGCAGGAUGACGGCCCUAUGGGUUGUAAACUGCUUUUGUAUGGGGAUAAAGUUAGGGACGUGUCCCUAUUUGCAGGUACCAUACGAAUAAGGACCGGCUAAUUCCGUGCCAGCAGCCGCGGUAAUACGGAAGGUCCAGGCGUUAUCCGGAUUUAUUGGGUUUAAAGGGAGCGUAGGCUGGAGAUUAAGUGUGUUGUGAAAUGUAGACGCUCAACGUCUGAAUUGCAGCGCAUACUGGUUUCCUUGAGUACGCACAACGUUGGCGGAAUUCGUCGUGUAGCGGUGAAAUGCUUAGAUAUGACGAAGAACUCCGAUUGCGAAGGCAGCUGACGGGAGCGCAACUGACGCUUAAGCUCGAAGGUGCGGGUAUCAAACAGGAUUAGAUACCCUGGUAGUCCGCACAGUAAACGAUGGAUGCCCGCUGUUGGUACCUGGUAUCAGCGGCUAAGCGAAAGCAUUAAGCA